rnacentral:rRNA from 1 species
UAUCUCUGUAGAGUCUGCAUAUCAAUAAGCGGAGGAAAAGAAACUAACAAGGAUUCCCUUAGUAACGGCGAGUGAAGCGGGAAGAGCUCAAAUUUGAAAUCUUCGAGGUUCUACCUUGACGAAUUGUAGUCUAAAGAAGUGUUUUCUGUUGGGGUUUUGGUAAAAGUUCUUUGGAGUAGGACAUCAUAGAGGGUGAGAAUCCCGUAUUUGACCGUUAUUUUCAGCUGUGUGAUACACUUUCAAAGAGUCGGAUUGUUUGGGAAUGCAGUCCAAAAUGGGUGGUAAAUUUCAUCUAAAGCUAAAUAUUGGCGAGAGACCGAUAGCGUACAAGUACCGUGAGGGAAAGAUGAAAAGAACUUUGAAAAGAGAGUUAAACAGUACGUGAAAUUGUCAAAAGGGAAGCGUUUGGCACCAGUGUUGUUUUCUCGAAAAUCAAUUAAAAAUGGCUUGAUUUUGUGUUGUAUUGACCUUAAAAGCUUUCUUCACUUUUUUCAUGUCUUUUUUAAUGCACUUUUCGUUUAACAAGUCAACAUCAAUUUCUUUUGUUGUAAAAGGGUCAUUGGAAGGUGGCUUUCUUUUCGGAGAAAGUGUUUAUAGCCUUUGGCCUCUGCAAUCGGAGAGAUUGAGGUCUGCAGCGUAGAUCCUUCGGGGUUAGAUACACUUGUGCUAAGUUGUAGCUUUUCAUAGACAACUUGUUGACUAUGUCUAGUCAUGCGGCUUACUCGCUUGUGCUAUUUUACCUACGCUUAGGAUGUUGAAGAUGUAGCACAUCAU